CAGCCCCUUGUUCUGAAAGGCUUUCUGCUGGGAUCCCAUUAUGUGCUUGAAUAAACCCUUUCUGCAAACAGAAAUGGGACUCGGGGUUGUCAGGUGUUGGGUUACAAUAGACUUUGAGGCAGGGGACAUUUUACCAACAUAAAUACAAACCUGUCCCUAUAGGGAGAUGUUGUCAAAUACUGGGAUAUGGAAAACAUUCCCAUCAAAUAUGAGAAAAGGAUUA
rnacentral:lncRNA from 1 species